AAUGCAGAACAUCAACAGCAAAGAUGCUUUCAUGGGUAGAACCAGAUCUGAUGAUGAUGAUGAUGCUUUGCCAAGUUAUCAAACGGCACAUGUAAUCACAAAUACAGAGAAUUUCGAUUCGGUUGAAGAUAGCCCAUUUGGUUUAGAUUUCAGCAUUAUACCCGAUUUUACUAAUAUUUUGGAAUUGGCGCCAGACUAUGCCACAAAAAUGGAUGAUGCGACGGCUGACGGUAUUCUACGGGAUAUAUUGAACAAACCUGAUUAUUGUCACAACGCCACUAUACAGACCAGCAAUGUUGUUGAUGAGCGACCGUUUUUCCCACACGCGACAGGGGGUCGGGCUAAAACAUUCGAAUA